rnacentral:rRNA from 1 species
GACGAACGCUGGCGGCGUGCUUAACACAUGCAAGUCGAACGGAAAGGCCCUGCUUGCAGGGUACUCGAGUGGCGAACGGGUGAGUAACACGUGGGUGAUCUGCCCUGCACUUCGGGAUAAGCCUGGGAAACUGGGUCUAAUACCGGAUAGGAGCCAUUUUUAGUGUGAUGGGUGGAAAGUUUUUUCGGUGUAGGAUGAGCGCGCGGCCUAUCAGCUUGUUGGUGGGGUAAUGGCCUACCAAGGCGGCGACGGGUAGCCGGCCUGAGAGGGUGGACGGCCACAUUGGGACUGAGAUACGGCCCAGACUCCUACGGGAGGCAGCAGUGGGGAAUCUUGCACAAUGGGCGCAAGCCUGAUGCAGCGACGCCGCGUGGGGGAUGACGGCCUUCGGGUUGUAAACUCCUUUCGCUAGGGACGAAGCUUUUUGUGACGGUACCUAGAUAAGAAGCACCGGCUAACUACGUG